CUCUCACCCUAGCACGAGGAAGUGUCAGUGAAUAGUGAGAGAGGAGGGCAAAGUGUUACACACAAAUUAGUUUUUGCAUUUAUUAUAUUAGAUAUUUCUUAGUUGUAGUGCACCUAACUGUUUUCAUAUUUCAUAUAUAUAUAUAUAUAUAUAGACAAUAUUAAAAUAAGGACACAUUCGCACACGCAAAUAUAUAUAUAUUCAUUUAUUCACUUCAAGCUGUUUAAAGUAUGUACUUCCAGUUUAUCUCUCCACGUGGUACUUUCAGGUCUCUUUGAAAUCGUCCUACUCUCAUUCAUUUCUCUCCCCUUUAGCAGUUCGCUUGGUAAUACCGACUGAGCAAAAUAUCCAGGAUGGGUGGAUAUCCCGUGAAAUGACAGUUUUCUUGAAAAUAUUCCUAUAUCAGUUUCAAAACUAAUUUGCCUUGAGUUUAAAACAGUGGUUCCCAACCUUUUCACUACCAAGGACCCCUUUUAUUUAAAUGAGUUGGGAACUUGUUUAAAAUAUGUGCAAGAACAACAGUUGUUUUUAAUCUAGUUUUGUUUGCAAUUUGAGGUGUUUUACAUUUGUUUUGUUUGCAAUUUACAAAUCUUGGUUGAAUUAAAUUCACCUCAAGUUCAAAUCUCACGAGAUUAGAUUUGUACAACUAAUUGUAAAGUGCUAUACACUUUGUGUUUUCACACCCCAUCGUUAUCUCCCCUCUCUCCAACUGAGGUAACCAUGUAUCUAAAAGAUACUUAUUUCUAUCCUUCUGUUCAUACUCUUCUCAUCACUUGGUACAUAACCAUCUCCCUCAAUAUACCCCCCCCCAUUCAGUUGAGGGGUAAGUUACUUAGUGACCUCAGUGUUGCCACAUAAAAAGCACCCAGGACAUUCUGUAAAGUGGCUGGCAUUAGGAAGGGCAUCCAGCUGUAGAAAUGCCAAUGCAAACAGUAGAGCUUGGCAGUGUUCUGGCUUGCCAGCUCUUAUCAGAACGUCCAACCCAUGCCAGCAUGGAAAGAGGAUGUUAAAGAUGAGUUACUGAAACCAGUAAAGGAAUAUAAGAUACUAAUAAUUGUUUUCUUUUUCCCUAUUACAAAUAUUUCAACCACUAGUCUGUUGAAAUAGUUGUCCACAGAAGUGGAUCAGCUUAACAAUGAUGCUGUAUCUAUACAUGUCGGUAGCAUUGCCAUGCUGAUUUUGUCAAUUUAAUAUCUUUUACUAUGCUCUUAUCACUGUGAUAGAUUCCACUUAUUUUCAUUCUUAAAAUAACUUCAUUCUUGAUCUGUCUGUCUCUUUCUAGCUGGGUAACCAUGUACCUCCUCUACAGCAAGACACCUAUUUCUGUCUCAUUAUAUAACCUUUCAUCAUCUGACACAAGAUCACCUCCUCCAAUGCUUCUUCCCUUCUCAAAGGAUUGAUCUUUGUCUUGCAAGUUACUUGGUGACCCUGCCAGUGAUGAUGUCACAUAAAAAGCAUUCAGUCCACACUGUAAAGUGAUUGGCAUUUGGAAAGGCAUCCAGCUGUAUAAAAACCAUGCCAAAACUGACCUCGCCUGUGCUUUUGCUAAUUAAAAAGCACUUGGUCCACUCUACCGGGCGGUUGGUGUUAGGAAGGGCAUCCAGCCAUAAAAACCCGGCCAAAACAGACACAAGUCUGGUGCAGGCUCCUGACAAACUGUCUAACCCAUGCCAGCAUGGAAGGUGGAUGUUAAACAAUGUUGAUGCCUCCAUGCUGAGAACGAUGAUGCAUUAAAUAUGUUUGCAGUUUCCACCAAAGAUGUAUUCUGUGACAGUCGCCUUCCUUUCUUGGAUGGCUGAAUUCUCUUCAGGAGCAGUUCAUUUUUUUUACCACUUUUCACCUUAUUUCUAAACAUUUCUUUUAUAUUUUUCAAACUCUCCCCUCACUGCUACUGGAAAAAUAUGUCUAUAGUUUGAAAUUUUACUCCUAUUUCAUGUUUUUCCUAUUUAACUACUAUGAGUAUAUUUCUAUUCCAAUGGUGGAUUCUUCAUUCGUUUCAAUGGUGAAUAUCCAGUUGUUUGAUCAACUGAAUUCCUACUUGUGAAAUGAAAGUAGAAGACGAAUAUUCUGCUAACCUGUAUACCCUUCAUACAAUUCUCAGGCUAGAUCUUUGAAUUACAGGUACAAUCCUGUGAAGUAGGAUUUUGCUUCCUUGGUGUAUACAUUGGUUGUCUUUGUGCAGUUAAGUAAGGCAUCUUUUAUUAACAUUUUUCUGGAAAGAUGUCUCUUUGCAUAUGGAUGAUGCCUGUGUGUAGAGGUUUAAAGCAUGAAGAGUGGGAAUUGUUAGGUGAUAUCUACAUUAAUCACUUGUCAGUUUCCAUUAAGUUAUAUGUAGAUAGCCACAACUGCAGUCUCUUUGACCUGUCAGUUCAGUCUCUACAAUUGUACCUGAAAGAAUAGUACAUAAGAGAACAUGUGCAUUUGAUAUGAUAAGGCUUUUAGUACCUUAAUAGGAUUUUUAUAGAAACUUAUAGUAAAAUGUUAAUUUACUGAAAGAAUUGUGGGGUUACUUUUGAGCAUCUGAAAUCUAGGGUAGAUGACUGCAGUAACAUGGCCAUGUAGUGUAAGUAGAUAACUGUUGGGUUUGAUGGAAAGGUCUCCUAAUAAGAAUAAGCAAAGAUGUAGUGGUGUUGAUUGGAGAAAAUGAGUAACUAUCAAUUGAAAUAUGGAAAUUUUGCAAUUCAGUGGAAAAUAUUGUUAUAAAGAGUUACACUUUUAGAUAUUUAGUUGUCAUCGUUUUACAUCUGCUUUCUAUGCUGGCAUUUAAAUCAGGUUUCCGACAUCCUAAUCUCUUCUGAAAUUAUAUGGAUUCUAAAUGCAACUCAUCAGUAUAAAAUAUUGAUUUAGUGAGAAAUAAAGUAAAAAUGCAUUUAUAAUAUUAGCAAUAUAUGCAUGAUAAAAGCAUUCUAACAGUUGUGUGUAUUCAUUUUAUACUAAUGUCUGAACUGUAAAGGGCUGCAGGACAGGAGUAAACUAUCAGCAAUGUGUCAUCGAAGUUUGGGAAAAGUUUUUUUUACUGCAUUUGAAAGUAUAGGAUACAGUGCAAAUUCACAUAAUUAUGUGAUUCCAUUUGAAUUGCAAUUAUGUUUGUGUUGGUGGCAAAAAGUGCAUCCAGCUGUAAAAAUCCUGCCUCAAAAGUUUUUGUCUGAGUCAUGCUAACAUGUAGAAUGAAUAAUGUAAUACUUUAAACAUCACAAUUAUAACUGCAUCUCUGUUUGAAAUGAAGUUUCUAUAACUGAAAAAUCUGUUCCAGGUUCUUUUUUUCUAAAUAAUACAUUCACUCUCACUUGCUAUCAUUUUUCUAGUUAGAAGUUGACAUAUAAAUGGAAGGUUAGAUGAUAAAAGAAACAAGCUCAAACAUUUUCCAUUGCUAAUAUUUUACUUGCCACAAGUAAUUGGAAGCAAAAGAGGCAGAAAAAUCUGUAUUUAGUUUUACAUUGAAUAAAAAUUCUAUACAAGCCUCCAUUUGAAACAGCAUUGAAUAUAAUGUUCAAACAUAUUACAAAGACAUGCUAUCAGCUUCAAAAUAUUUUGUAGCACUUAAAACUAAUAUGCAUUUCCAUUACUGUCCUGGUUUACCAAUUGAAAAAUCAGUAUAUUUCUAGGCUUUCCAUAAAGACCAAUAUAUCUAUAGCAUUAAAUAUCAAAGAUUUUAUUGAAGCAUAUAUUACCAGAUGUUGUUUCUGAUCAUGCAAUAGGCUUAACACAUUUUGCCUAAUGCUAGGAUAUCUUGAAAUAUAUACUGGACAUUUUAAGCCCAAAGUUACUGUUGAAAGAAGCAGAGUAGAUUGUUUCUGACCUUAAUAUACAUUUAAAAAAUAGGGAGAAGUUGGUAGCUGCUCAGAUUUGUUUUAAAAUUGGUAAAAUGGAAAGGAAAAUGUUAAUGAGAACAAUGGAAGUCUUGAAAAUUCACACUGAGACUUUUACAUGUGCAUAUUAUCAAAUGCUGGGUUGCUAUUGUGUAAGAUAUAUUUGUGACAGCAUAUUCAGCAUAUCAUUGAGCAGAGAGACUGCUUGGAGUUGAAAAUUCAAGAAUCUAAGACAAGAUUGACAUAAUUCUGGAUGAAUUGGCUGCAUUCCAUUCUGGCUUUCAUAAAAUAUAUACUGCCUAUAUUCAAUCGAAUAAAUCCAUACUGAAUUCUUUAACAUAGUACAAGGGAAUCGAUAAUUAUAGUGGAUAUUAUUAAUUACCAUUAAAAAUAAGCAUUAGGUCAUGAUAUUUCAUUACUAG